AUGGAUUCACCGCCAGGCAAAGAGCUUCAACCACUUGUCGGCUCGGUACAAACCCAUUCUGAGAGAGAGAGAGAGGGGACAAAACCCACAGAUGAGUGUAAAGACUGAGUAAAAGAACAGGGUGAGUUUUGUUGUGGAUACAUUGGAGCUUUACAAGAAAAGAAACGUGGGAAAAAUCCUCCUGGACUCUUUUAUAUGGAUUCUUGCUCUGCUGUUGGCCUGUUGAAUGCUGAGUUGUCGUUCCAGCAGCACAACACCACACACACACACACACACACACAGAGGUUGGAUUUUUUGGUCAAGCCAAAAGCUGAUCUGCAUCCACCAAUCCUGGACUAAACAGAGCAGCUGAGCCCUGUUAAGCACCGAAUACAAGCUCCCAGGCAACUCCUCUCAGCUCUCUGUUACUACAGAAAUGUCUCAGCAACACAAUACCAUCCUGCUCUGUCUUUUCAUCGUCUUCAUUACAUCACUGGUGCUGGGUUUAGAAAAGAAUUCGACACAUGAGGAGUGUGCUGACCUGAACAACACCACCUGGCAGGAGUACCGUCAGCGCAGUGUCAAACUGCAGGUUCAGUAUCUGCUGCUGACCAGGAAAAACCUGGACUGUGCACAAACGUUCACUCAGCAGUCUCUUACAGAAACAGAGCAGCCGUCUUACUUCAACAUCUCCCGCCCCACAAAGGUCAUCAUCCACGGGUACAGGGCUCUGGGCAGUAAGCCGUCCUGGGUGAAGGAUCUGGCCGUGGCCCUGCUCCGGGCUCAGGAUGUGAACGUGGUGGUGGUGGACUGGAUCUACGGCGCCUCAUUCGCCUACAACCUGGUGGUGGAAAACUACAAGGAGGUGGCUGUGCAGAUCUCUGUUCUCAUAAACCAGAUGCAGACAAAUGGCUGCAAACUGGAGUCCUUCCACUUCAUCGGGAUCAGUCUUGGGGCUCACGUCGCUGGAUUUGUGGGGACUCUGUUUGAAGGGAAAAUCGGAAGAAUCACAGGUCUGGAUCCUGCUGGUCCCAUGUUUAAAGGAGCCGACACCUUCGACCGUUUGGACCCCUCUGACGCUCUGUUUGUCGAUGCCAUCCACACAGACUCUGACUAUUUUGGCAUCUCCAUCCCUGUCGGCCAUGUGGACUUCUUUCUGAACGGGGGAAAAGAUCAGACUGGAUGUGCCCGCUCCAGGUUUGCUUCAAUUCUUGUCUACUUCCCAGUGUACGGCUAUGUGAUCUGUGACCACAUGAGGGCGCUGCACGUCUAUAUGAGCGCGCUGAACGGCUCGUGCCCGCUGAUUGGGAUCCCCUGCUCCAGUUAUGAGGACUUCCUAAAGGGAAACUGUUUGGACUGUGACAUCUUCAAGGGCACAUGUCCAACUAUAGGUUUAUCAGAAAACAGUGGGAUAACAAUAUCUCCAAUCCCCAAAGAGCAGAGGCUGUUCCUCCUCACGUCUUCUUCGACACCUUUCUGCGCUCAUCACAUCCUGCUGCGGCUGGAGGUUUCUCCUCUGGAUAAGAGCGCUGAGGUCGAGGUGACACUGAGGACGGAGAGCCUCAGGAAAGAACAGAGACUGAGACUGUCACCGACAGAGAGCAGGUUUUCCUCUUUCUUUCUUAUCAAUGUUUUGUCAAUUUAUCUUAAUGUGUGUCUAACUUGCAAAAAAACCUACUUCACUCACAGCGUGCAAGCAUUAUGUCUGAUACAUAUUUCUUACAUACUUAUUAAUAACCUACCUAUGGUAACCUAUUUUGAUCCUUCACUAAUCCCAGCUAAAAAAUGUGUGCCAUAACUUUAUCACUUUUUCCUAAUGUUUACCAGCUACACCUGUCCCUUUAAUCCUCAAAUAUGAGGACAUUUUGUUAUUGUACUCCCAAAACCAAUCCCAAAAUCAAAACUAUCACCAUCAAUUAGAAAUUUAAGAGGAGCUAAAUUGAGGAUUUCAGCAUUAUUUUUGACUCCCUCUGUAUAGUUGCUGACAGACUGAGAUGCAGCAGCCUUACCUCAUAUUUAUUAUUUCUCUCUCUUUGUUUAACCCAAAAAAAGCUGAGCAAACAGAUUCUAUUUCAAGAGAAGAUUUACUGUACGGUGCUCCACUGUAAAGGCGCAGGUGCAGGUGCAGCCUGCAGCUGCAGGAAAUGUGCCCACGCGGAGGUUUACUUCAGUUCAGGAGGGCGUAUAACACUUUUUUUUAAUCUGUUUGUUUGCUCACUUUAUUGCAAGAUUGCAAAAACUAUUAUUGCAAACCUUAUUAGCUCAUGUGCUAGAUUGUUGAUAAAGAUGUUGUGAGAUGUAGCAGUCAGUCUGUCGCAGCGCUCUGUUCAACACAGGAGUCGGACAGAUACGACGAUGUACAGGACGGUGUUGACUCACCCGCUGCCUCUGUGUGAGAUCCAAACCAUCGAGCUGAAGAACACCGGAGCUUUCUACAGGCAGGGAGACAUCCACGUCAAGUCUGUGUGUGUCUCU